GCAUCGAAGCGCGGCAGCCAUGUUCAGCGUGGCAUUUCGGAAGGCUUGUCAGGGGUGGAGAAGCGGGGCGGGUUGCUGUUCUUUCACCUGACACUAAAGCGCCAUGCCGGAAGCACUGAGUCUGAUACGUCGGAACCAGUCUCCACCGUGUGGUUUGGUCUUGAUUUCCACUGGUACUCUGGGGUCUUGGAUAAGUCUCUGGACCUCGCCUUUGUCAUUUGCGAAGUCGAUAGGUUCCAAUAGAGAUUUUCCCAGAAUCAUUCAACUAAAAAUAGAGAACUUUUUUUUUUUGAGAGGAAGGACGGGGGCGCAGUUAAAGAUGUUAAUGUUAAGUCAUCCCUUCUGUGAUUUCGGGACAUUAUCUUUGCACGCCAUGUGAAGAUGUGCUUGCUUCCUUGUCACCUUCCGCCAUGAUUGUAAGUUUCCUGAGGCCUCCCAGGAAGCAGAAGCCUGUACAGCCCACAGAACCAUGACCUGAUGAAAUCUCUUUUCUUUAUAAAUUACCCAGUCUCAGAUCUUGCUAUGCUUGUCAUUGUGUAAGCAGCAAACUUGCAGUGACCAGUUGGAUUCCACCCCCCUGAUGUUGGUGGUGUGCUCUUGGGGAGAUGUCUUCCAGACAGGCAAAGAAGAGUGACAUCAUCAGAGCAUGGACGACCUCAAAGAUAUUCCAGCUAUGCUCCAGAGAGAGCCAUCCUGAUGGAACCUACUGACCAGGGGGACACAAAAGAAAAGAGGGAGGAGAUGAAAGAAGGUGAGGGUCUCUAUUGCCAGCAGAACUGGACUGUGUGUUUAACUGGAAAGCUGAUGGAGAAUGUAGUUAGGCACAGCUCUCUGGACCCUUCUAGUGAAAUAAAGAACUAGUUAAAUAAGGCAAGACAGAAGAAUGAGGCUGCCAUCUAGAUGUAGUAACAGGUAAUGUUCCAGGGCACAAGGGAGCCAAAGGAAGAGAGUUUCUUCACUUUUUAUUCUCUGCAGUCUUCAUACAUAAUAAUGAUCUCAUUCCUCUAUAUUAGUCAAGAUCUUCCCAUUAUAAGUGACGAAUUAUAACCAGAUUAAACCAAAAAGUAAAAUAAUUUAUUGACUGAUUGAUAUGGUUUGGAUUUGUGUCCCCGCCCAAAUCUCAUGUAGAAUUGUAAUCCCCAGUGCCAGUUGGAGGUGGGUCCUGGUGGGAGGUGAUGGGAUCAUGUGGGUGGUUUCUCAUGGUGUAACGCAAUCCACCUUGGUGCUGUCGUCACGAUGGUGAGUCCUCAUGAGAUCUGGUUGUUUCAAGGUGUGUGGCACCUCACCUCUCUCUCUCUCUUCUCCUGCUCCCACCACGUGAGGCACCUCUCUCCCCCUUUGCCUUUUGCCAUGAUUGGAAACUUCCUGAGGCCUCCCCAGAAGCAGAAGCCCCUAUGCUUCCUGCACAGCCUGCAGAACCAGGAAACAAAAGGAGGGUGUUAGAGGAAAAAGAGGGAAACCCACUGACAGAGAGGAAGGCUGAAGAGAUCCCACCGCUGACUUGGACUAAGGAGAGAGAAGUCAAAGAGUGGUUACCUGGAUGAGGUGGCUGAAUAUGGGCCUGCUCUUGUCACUUUGGAUGUCACAACUAGCCUUGAGAAGAGCUGCUGUUCCAGGAGUCUGUCACAACUAGCCUUGAGAAGAGCUGCUGUUCCAGGAGUCUGUAGCCAAGGACGUACAGCAGUGGAGGCUGACUCAUCGCAUAGCUGAGUGACCAAUUGCUUGGCAUGAGUUUACUUUAAUGGCUGUUUCUGAGUUUGAUCCCUCUCCGGAACCAACCCCUCUGAUGUGUCCUGUUCCAGCAGGAAGAGACAGACCUGGAGGUUCUGUACUUGUGAUUUCUGGUUGUGGAUCCUGAGAACAAGAAGUACUGGGAUCCUAAAGUUCUGACAUUUGCAAAGCAGAUUAAUGACCUACCACAUUCCAGAUCAUUUGGUGAUUUUGUGUGUGCGUGUGGGUGUGUGUGUGUGUGUGCCAAAUUCAAGGUGGUCCCAGCCUUUCUAGUCUUCUCUAACCUUUCUUCUCAGAAGUCGCACCUGUUCUGUCUUUCUAGGAUAUAAUUUUUUUUCUAUUAGCCUGGGUAACACCCCAACCAAUAAAGUUUGCAAUAUCCAAGCC
ensembl:lncRNA FBXO38-DT FBXO38 divergent transcript